rnacentral:rRNA from 1 species
UGGCGGACGGGUGAGUAAUGUCUGGGAACCUGCCUGAUGGAGGGGGAUAACUACUGGAAACGGUAGCUAAUACCGCAUAACGUCGCAAGACCAAAGAGGGGGACCUUAGGGCCUUUUGCCAUCGGAUGUGCCCAGAUGGGAUUAGCUAGUAGGUGGGGUAACGGCUCACCUAGGCGACGAUCCCUAGCUGGUCUGAGAGGAUGACCAGCCACACUGGAACUGAGACACGGUCCAG